AACGUGCGAACUUAACUUCUGCACCACCGGGCCGGCCCCUGCAUUUCAUUUUGAAUGAUAUCUGUGAGUACCGCUGCAUUAGGUACUUUGCGAUGAAUGAAACAACCAUCCAAAGAGGGACAGUGUCAAUUGGCCAGGACUCAGUAACAGUCCCCAUACUUACAACCAAAGUUUAGCUCUCACAGACGUCUUCCUUUGUUUUCCUUUCCAACCAAGCUGCCUUCCUACAUCCACAGAGUGAUGGCCCUGCUAUACAAACCUGUUGUAAGAAAAUGCACUAUGAAAUAUUAAAUCUCCAUUUUAUUUACAGAUUUCCUGCUGAAUCUCUCUGUGGGGGCCAGGUGAGUUAGCCAGCUGACGCAGCAUUCAGAUCUUUUGCUGGAGUGAUUAGCAAACUGGAUCACGCCUUCACCUGAGACUUCUCUCUCACGAAUACUUUGAAAUAAGAGUUCAUUUUUAUUUCAGAUUCCUGGACAAACUGAACCUAAUUUUGUAAAGGUGACUAGGUACAUCAGGGUGUAAUUGCAAAAUGAAUUUAACCAAGAAGAUAAAAUAAUUUUAUAUGCAGACGUCAAAAUUUCUAGAAGCCAGGAGAGAGGGAGAUUAAUUGGGACUCACACAUCUCAGGAUGACAAAAUGCAGCUGUUGUUGACAUCUGCAGGGCCAGCUGUUGGUACUUGACAACAGCUCUUGCUAUGCAUGGAGAGCCAUGUCUGUUCACUUCUGAUGAAAUAAGGGCACAGUCAGCACGUGUGCUCAACGAGCGCUGAAGAAUUGAUUUGAGAGCAAAAGAAAAGUGAUUUAACUAAAGUGUAAGUCUUCUUUUUCUCUCAAAAUAAGAUGCAAUGUAAUCUAUACUAUGGCUGAGACACAUCCAAAUAUAUUUGAAAGUCCUGCCUCGUUUGCUCCUACCAUUCCCCCAUACUCUCCCUCCGUCCCACCUCCCCACCACUCUAUGUUUUUGACAGAUUCCUGCCCACAGCUGAAAAUUUGGAGAGCAUUUAGUGUUUAAUCCCUCAUGAAUUUGAUCAUAACACCACCUAUUGUGUCUAGAGUGUUCUUUCAUUUACAAGGCAUUUUCAGAUAGAUUUUCACAUUUGACCCUCACAGUACCCUUAUGAGGCUACUUGUGUCAUCAUCCCAUGGUGCAGAGGAGGAAACUGAGACUCAGGGUGGGUAUGAUAAGCUAGGUGACUUGUCCUUGGUCCAUGAGGAAGUGACAGAGCUGGAGGGAGGACCUAGGGCUUCAAUAACCCAGGCUGCCCUUCCACCUCACACCUAGGUAUUGCAUUUGGAUUUUACUUCCUGGUACGUCAAUAUGUUGCCUUGUAAUUCCCCCAUGGACCUGUAUGAAGACAGCAAUAUUUUGAUACUUUCUUUACUCAGCACCACCUUAUCUUGUGGAGGCUUGGACUUCUUUUAAUUCUUCUGCCCAGAAAUGACUAACACAACAGAAGACACAAUUGCCUACAUGGAAAGGUUUUACACAGGCAUCUGAAGGACCCCUCUUCUCAAACUAUCCUCCAUCAACCACCCAUGGCUUGAAAGUCCACCAUUCCUUUGGGCACCUCACUCUCUCUGGAUCUCUUUUAAAGUGCAAAUGUCGCUGGGUUGGGUGACACAUUGAUUUAACUCGUGAUGAGGUGUUAUUGAUUCACUCAAUUCACCUGCACACAGACAGAGAGACCUAGGACAGCCUGGGAGAGUCCUUGGUACUAAAAAGGAAGGAGAGGGCAGUGAAGAAGAGUGGACUCAUGGGUUUUGGAAAAGAUCCCGAUUGGCAGUUCUUGGGACUGAGAACCCAGGAGCCCACACUCCAGCACAUCUCCAUGCUAGGAGCUUUGCAAACCUGGCCCCACCUCUGAGGCUACUAGGAGUUGGAGAGGAGAGGGCCACUGCAGGAGGCGUGGGCUCUCUUGGAUUUGAGCUCAGCGGUCUCCUGGUGGCUCGCCUUGGUCUGCCCGCUCAUUUCAGGUGGGCUGCAUUCAGCAGGGCCAGGGGCAUAGGUGGAGUGGGCCAGAACAGGGUACUGCACGCUAACCAGCACACAGAAUGUGACUUCCAGUCUUCCAGCUGUGGAAGCCAGAGGUGGCACAAAUCUUUUUCUGUCUGACAAAUCCCUGGGCUGCUCUGAGCACACUGACUGAUAUGAUCAUUAUGGGAACCAAGUGCAAAAACAGGAACUUUCGGGGAGGUUCUGCUGAGAGAGAAAAGGUCCUGGUAAUAAGGAAGUGUCAGAUUAAGGUUUAAAUUGGGAUCUGAGACCUGCCCUGUCCUUUUGUGAAUCGCUGCCCUGAGGGUGGAGGAAUCUGGAAUUCGCUACUUUAUCAUUUCUUGCUUUAGGAAGCCUAGGAAUGGACUGGUUUUGCCGCCGGUUUAUUCCACAUGUGGAGUUACAUAUUCCAUAUCUUCCAAUUUGACUUUGAUUUUUUUUGGAUUCACUGAGCAAUCCUGCAAUGUUGUCUCGUGACAUUUUCAGUUUCCAAACAGAGGAAUGUAAGUCCAGGGCAGUGUGUGUCAGGAGCAAGUGGUUCCAUGAAAGGUGAGAACCUCUGGGAACUUGCCUCCCAUAGUCCAGAUCCCAAACUGAGGGUGUUUCUGACCCCUCAUAUCACUUGCAGCCAAGCUUGUCUAGGGAGGCUCAGCUGCCUAAACUGCCAGGACUUGACUAAUCAAGCCUGUGACCCAUAUGUUUCUGGCUGUCUUCAUUUUCUGCUAUGAGGACCUAUAUGUUUCUGGCUGUCUUCAUUUUCUGCUAUGAGCUGGCACAGGGCCCUAGCUGUGCCUCAUUCGUGUGGAUUUAGAAAUUCUUAUCUUCAGAGUUUACUUCCAUCAAGAGGGAUGGAAGGAAGGAAAGGAUUGGAGGGAGGAGAAAGGAAAGGAGGAAGGGAGGAUGGAAGGAAAUCCCCUUGCAUAAGCAACUGCGGACAUUCUAGAAACGUGCAGCAUCAUUGUAGAGAUAGCAAACCUUCCUCCCUAAGCCCGUUGGAUAUAAACCCUAAAACCAUAAUUGCUCCUGACACUGGCCUACUUCUCUCUGAUUUCCAAGUUAAACAAUGACAAGGAUUCCAAGGCAAUGACCUCAAUUCCCCAAACCCCCAGAGCUACUCUGUUUUCCAGGAAGCUGAUCAUACAGGCAGGAUGGUAUUGGACAGAGAUAGACCAUGUUUUCUGAAUCAGUAGUUGGAGCUCAUUGUCAUGGGACAGGAUAUUUGAAAUUGUAUAUCGAGUGAAAAUCCAGGGAGCAUGGGCCAUAAUUGUGGAAUAUGAUUCAAUAUAUGAAAAAAAAAGUGCAAUGUACUAACCAGCCUUCUAAAUACAUCCUAUAGGUAUAAUUCCAUUUGCAGUGAGAGAACUUAAUUUGAGAAAGAAAUCUGUUCUAGCCUGACUUUGAAAUUUUGAACACUCUCAUCCCAGCCACCAGGUCCACUCCAGUAGAAGUGAGAUGCUGGACGAUAAUGAAGACAAUAAUAAACAGCUACAAUUUAUUGAUUGUUUUCUGUGUGCUGGGCACUGUGCUCACAGCUUUCCAUGCAUAUCAUUUAAUCUUCAGAACAAUCCUAUAUGGUGUUUUCUUUUCUUCAUCAUUUUUUUAAUUGUGAAAGAUAUUGAAGUGGGUUUAUAGGUGAAGAAAAUGGAGUUUGGGGACAUUAUGGGAGUUUGCCCAUAGUGUCACCGCUAGUACAUGACAGCACCAGGAUUCACCUAGCCACUAAACUCUGCUCUCUCAAAAAUAGCUCCUGGAAAGUAAAUAGGAGAGAAACAGAAACGUAUUUUUUCUUCGUGUAUGAGAUGGGGCCCAAGGAGAGUGAUCGUCUCCCCGUAGAAUUCAGCCAAGAAUUUCAUGGCAAAUAUUGAAACAAUGAGUAUGAAAUUUGUUCCAUAUUCUAACAGCAGGCCUCCUAGUGAAGUUGCUGUUCAAAUAUCUUCUUCCAAAUUAAUUGAAAACUCUGUGAAAGAAAGCCUCUUUGCUCCCACUGUUUCUCCUGGCAGCCCCAAGUGUAUUGGCCAAGUGGACAGCCCGCUGAGGAAACUGCAGGGGACUGAGAAAAAGCAGAACACUUCCGGGAUUCUCAAAGAUGCCAGUUCCUCUCAAACUAGGCAAAAAUUACUCCUGGUUCAUAGCUCAGCUUCAACACUGCCGAGUUUAAGGGAAGGUUGUCCUGGCUGGACUGAAUGGAGCCCAAGGUUGGGUUCCGUUGAGGCAACUGGCUAAUGGCGUCUUCAUUAAUCUGCGUCCCUUUUGGCCACGUCUCACACCUGUUAUCCUGGAGGGCAUCAUGAGCAAAACAGUCAGAGCAUUAAUCCAUCUUAGGACUGGCAAUGAUCCUGGCUGACUCCGGGGCUGAGCGGAGUCUCCCUCAAGUGGAUUCCUGGAUUUCUGCCUCCCUUCGUUUUAGCAGAAUGAAAGAGAGGCCAACUAUAGCCACCCCUCUCCCGUUUCCAAUUUCCCCUCAUUGUUCUCCCUACACUCUUAUUCUCUUGUUCAUAGUUUUACUGCAUGAGAGAAAAUUUCAACUAAAAUUGACAUCUGCCAAGAGAAGAAUUCUGUAAUUGGCUGAUACAAAGCUCAUGGUUUCACGCCCAAAAGUGACCUGGCUGAGACCGACACGUUUCAGCCAGAGAUACUCGACCCCUCCUAGAAACUUCUUUACUGAACACUGGGGCACCUGUUUGUUGCUUUCGCCAGAGCUGAGCAUCAGGUGAUCUUGAACGAAUCCCUGGGUAACUCCUGGGCUCAUUGUGAAGACUUAAUGGGUCAUUGCAGGCCUGGAUGAGAACAGUGCCAGGAACAUAAGAAGUGAUCGGUCAAUGUUAGCUAUAAUUCAUGUCAACCGCCCUAUCCUCUUCAGUUUACCAAUAAGGAAACUGAGGCCCGGAAAUAUAAAGUGGCCUUCUCAAGAUCACAUGGAAAGGCAGUGGCAGGACUGCAACUGGAAUCCCAGACUCAUGGUUCCUUUCAACAUUUAUGAAUUUAUUCAUAAAUUCAACAACUGUCUAUUAAGUUCUUUAUUUUGUGCCAGACCCUGGCUGAGGAUACAAAAGUGGAAAAGACACAAAAAGACAGUGGUACAGCCUGGCAGGAGCUUCCUGUUUAUGCAAAGGGAAAAUAUGACCCAUAUAUGUCAUAUGGGUGACAACCAGCUAGGGUCUAAAGGUGAUUUUCAAGUUAUCUAGGUAGUUUUGAAAUUUUCACUGGGUAAAGUCAAUAGUAGUGGCUCUUGAUACCACCUUUUUAAAAUUUAUUUUUUAAUAUUAAACACUAAAUUAUUUAAACAUUUAUCGAGUAUUUACACAAUUCACCUCAUAUUCGAGUAUUGUUAUUUAAAGGAGAUUGCACACACUGGCAACAUCCGGCCAGCCCACUCAUCCCAGCAGUGAUCCUUGUGGAAACUUCCAUACAUUUACCACUGCCCUUCCCACUUGAUCAAUGUCAUUUCUCAAGAUAUUCCCUAAGAGGAUAUUGGGGACCAGCUUUGUGCUCUUAGGUAAGUCUCCUUUCCUCCUUUCCUCCUUCCUUCCCUCUGCCCCUCUUUACUUUCUCUCCCUCGCUCUCCUCUCUUCCUUCCUUUAUUUCCAUGAUUAAGAGCCCCCAUUUAAUGACCUUGAAUAAUCAGAAUCACCUUAAAAACAGGAUUAUACAUUCCGUUCAAGCAAGACUAGCCAGAUGUGAAUCUAAAGUUCCUGAUGUAGUAACAAGACAACUUUGGUGAGGUACUGGAGAGGGCGGCACAUUUGCAUUCUGCUGUCCUUUCUUUGGAAAGUGGCAGAAGUUUCCCUGGCAUGGGUCCCUCAUGGGGUACCCUGCAGACGACGAGGAAAGAUGUCACCUUCCAUUUAGAGUCUGAAAGUAAGGAGAUGAGCAGUGUUGCAGCCAUGGGUGGAGGUGUGUGGAUUGAAUUAUAUAGAGAGGGAAGCGGUUGAUAGGACAGGUUGUGCCUGGCUGGGUUGAACUCGUUUCUCUGGCUUCCUUCGUUCUCUGCUGUGAGCUUGCACAGGACCCUACGUCUGCCUGGAUUUAGAAAUUCUUCUCUCCAGAGUUUAUAUCCAACAGGCUUAGCUGAUACAACUAGUUUAAUAAGAAGGUAUUUAAAGGGAGACCAGUCUUCUUUCCUUCAUUCAUUUAUUCACUAAGCGUCCAUUGGGUGCCAUGAGUCAGCAGGUGUUAGGAGCAGCCUAUGGCUCUUAAUAGAGCUAUAGGGGACUUCCUUGAGUGGCAAACACAGUAAAGAGGUGGCUGCAGCCCCACCAGCUCAUCUGACCGAAACCUGCCUGUGCACUGUGGGUACAUCACCACAUUGUUUACCUGCGACCUCACAAGGACAUCCAUGCACCCCUGUUAUUGCUCCUAACAAUCUUCCCCAUCUUCCUGAAUCUUGCUCACCCAGGCAGUGCUUAGAUGAUGGCCAAAUGAGCUAACAUACGUGAAAGGUGUUGUGUAACUUGGGAAGAGGCCUAUGUGUACAGGAAAGCACACUCCAUCGUGUGAGUGAUGGUGUCUCCAGGGUGGGAAAUUGAGGGUGUGAUAAUGACAACCCAACGCAUAGAGCUCAUUGCAGCUUCACCUGUUUAUAUAUUUUAGGUGAAAGUGAUAGAUGGGGAGCUAUUUGCAUGUGUGGGCAGAGUCUGUGAGAGUGCACGGGAAGGGAGUGAAAAUAACACUCACUCCCUCUCCCAGCCCCUCAACCGUGUCAGGGGGAACCUGUCAAAGCCAGCUGCAGUACUUGGAAAGAGUGGCAUUUGCUUCUUUCUCUUCUUCUUGUAUUUUCAAAGUAGAAACCUGUGCUUUUAGGCAGCUAUGUAUCUAUUUCUGCAGAUCUGCCUACCGCUUAUUGAGAAAAGCUUGACAAGGAGAAGAAGGAGCUGGCAGUGACACUGGAACACGAGACUUCAUCCCCACGUUCCUCUGGUCCAGGGUCCUCCCUCUGACAGGCACGUCAUGCCAGGACAAUGGCAGGAAAGGACUAGCGAGUCAGAGCUUGGAGACAUGUUCGUUCCCCCAACCGGUAUCGAGUGCCCACUCCAUACCUGCCAUUGUGCUAAAGGCUGAGGGUGCCGAGAGGAGGCUCUGGGGACAGACCUGGGAGAUAAGAUGGCUAAAUGGAUAAUUUCAAAAUCAUGCAGAAGGCGCUCUGCAAAAACGCGUGCACAGGAUCCUUCAUGGGAGGAGGUUUCCUGGAAAGGUGACUCCUGAACUGGCCUUAAAGGACUAUGGGGGAGGCUGGCUGAAAGGAGAGAAGGUCAGUUUGGGUGGAGGACUGGCUGAGUAAACACAUUGAGGAAGGAGACGUGGGGAGAGGCCGGCAGAGGAAACCUAUCUGUAGUUUGAUCUUGCUGUUUCUUGAGUCCAAAGCCUGAGGAGGCUGGUGAGAGAUAAGGUAAGCUAUCUAGGAAUGGUAGGAGGGAAGAUGCAAAAUCCAGGACUUUCAGCCAAAGCAAGGAGAAACAAACAGGCUGUGAAGGUGUAGAGAAGAGGUUCCAGAGUUUGAGACAGCAGAAGGUUUACAGGGCAUAUGUUGGUAAAUGCUGAUUCUGGAGCAGGAGCUGUUAGCAUUGGUAAAUGCUGGUUCCGGAGCAGGAGCUCUUAGCAUUGGUAGAUGCUGGUUCUGGAACAGGAGCCGUUAGCAUUGGUAAAUGCUGGUUCUGGAGCAGGAGCUGUUAGCAUUGGUAGUUGCUGGUUCUGGAACAGGAGCUGUUAAUAUUGGUAGUUGCUGGUUCUGGAGCAGGAGUUGUUAGCAUUGGUAGUUGCUGGUUCUGGAGCAGGAGUUGUUAGUAUUGGUAAAUGCUGGUUCUGGAGCAGGAGUUGUUAGUAUUGGUAAAUGCUGGUUCUGGAGCAGGAGUUGUUGCUUUUCGUGUUCUGUGUAUAGUGUGGGAUACAGACAAGAAGCCUAAGGGUGAAUGCUGUCCCAGAUCAUGGUGGGGCCAGAGAUUCUGAGCUAAUCAAACGGAAGCCUGCUUGAUGCAUUCUCAAAAGCGCUGUCCUUUAGAGACCCAGGGACGUCUCUAAGCCCCUUUCAACCUUGCGUGUAUAUUUGUUUAAAGAUGAGUUUUAUGUUUACUAAAGGAAUUCAGUAAAACUCUAAUGAAUGAGAAUCUUUUAAGAUAGCCUUUUUCUCCAGAAAAAAAUAGAUAUAUGAUGACUUUUAGGAAAUUUGGAUAAUGCAGACAAGUCUGCGGAAUAAAAUCUAAUUGCGUUACCAAAUGAUAAUCGUUGGUGAUAAUUUUUAUAUAGCAUAUAUUUUAAUUUUCCAUUUUUAAACUUACCAUUACAGAGUAAAUGUUUCCCAUGCCUUCACAUUUAAAUGCCAUGCCUUCAAAUUUUCUAUUUGUAUCUUCCCAUUACAGAGUGAACGUUUUCCACACAGAGAAAGCGGGUGUGCCAGUCGUUAAUGUGUUAUCUCUCAGCUUCGAAAUAACCUUGCGUUGCCCUGCUUGGUGAUGCUGGAGCUGGGCCCUGUAGACAUUUCUCCUUCGCCAGCUGGCUGGCUGUUAGGCUUUGGGAACAGAGGGUGCUGGAGCGCCACUUCAGGGCCAAACAGGAGGAAGGCAUUUCCCUUCCUGUUCCUAGCCCUGGCACCAGCAGGUCAAAGUGGAGAGGGCCUGGAAGUGCUCACCUCAGCAUCCUGCCUGGACCUGCUCCGCUAGCCUGCAAGUUUCCCACUACCCAGGGCCAUUGCUGUGGAUCAGCCCCCAUCUGCAAUCUCUGGCAAGUCUCUCCACCGCCUGACAGGCUGCUCCUGCAGACCGUUCCUGGCCCACACGCUUGGGCAAGGGUCUUUGCCACCAUCAGCCUGACUCUUACCCUUGCAGGGGCGAAUUCUUAGUUCCUUCUUAUUGCUCUCUGAAUGUGCUACUUCUGAACCCCUUAACGUUCUCUUCUACCCCUUUUAGUAAUUAACCACCUUUUACUAAUUAGCACAUCCUUAUAGUAAAUGUUUCCUGUCCAAGUUAUUGGUGUUGUUUCUCUCCUUCCUGAUGGGACCCUGACUGACACACAAGGAAAAGGGGAGAGAGGUCAUGAGUAAUUUGGGAGAAAAGCACUGUUCCCUCCCUUUGCCCUGCAAAAUGAUCACACACACACACACACACACACACACACACACACACACACACAGCCCUCUACCCGAAAGCCAUUGAGAAUCACUGCUUUUUACCUUCUAUUCGUUUAGUCCAGGUUUUCCAGAAAGCAGACCUGAGGCAAGACUCCUGUGCUCGACUUUGUCAGUGAGUGCGACCACAGGAGCCAGAGUAAAGGACAGAGAGAUUCCAGCGGGGAAGGAGAGGAACCGGGGGCAAAGACGCCUUAGCAAGCUGGCUGCCUCCAAGUGCGACUGAGGCUCAGCCCUGCCAAACUGCCCAGACGUGCCUCACGCUCUCCCCUGGCUCCAGGACUCAGAUGCUUUUCUGCACAACUUCUGGAAGCUUUUGAAUCCUUUCACAAACAAAACUCCACACCUCCCUCCGAGCUGACUCAUGAACUUCCUGGGGAAAUUUCUCCUGUUGGUCAGAGAUAUGAUGAAAAAGAAUGCAGAAGAGAUGAGAUGUGAGAAGGACUUCACCACCAUUGCCGGCUUUGAAGAUGAAGGGGUCCAUGAGCCAAAGAAUGUGGGAUGGCCUCUAGAAGCUGAGAACAACACGAGGCCAACAGCCAGCAAGGAGACUUCAGCACUACAACUGCAUGGAACUAAGUUCUGCCAACAACCUGCCUGCAGCAGGGAGCAUCCUCUCCCCCAGGGCCGUCAGUAAAGAAAGCUGUCCUGGCACCUUGGUUCUAGCCUGGUUCCUUUGGCUCUUGGAAUUGAAGGUUAGUGUCUCUUGUCAGUUCUGGAAAUUUUUCAUCCGUUAUCUUUUGAGUCUCCUUACCUUUUUUUCACCUCUUUCUAUAACCCUGAUUAGACAUAGUAAGACAUUUUCACUCUAUGUUCCAUAUCACUUACCUUCUCUUUAAUGUUUUUCUCUCUUCAGUUGUUUUGUUCAGUGUGGCAUUGUGAAUAAUUUCUUCAGCUCUGUCAUCUCAUUAGUUCUCUCUUUAGCUGUAUCUAAUCUAUCCAUUGAGUUUUUGUUCCAGUAUUUGGUAUUUUAUUUCUAGCAAUUCCGUUUGGUUCUUUUAAAAAUCUACUUUGUCAUUUUUAAGAUUCUAUCUUCCUUAUUCAUAUUAAACAUAUUAAAACAUAACUUUUUAUUUUAAGUCUAAAAUCCCAUAGUCUCCAGGUUGAUAUUCUAUUAGCUGUCAUCUAUGAUAUCUUGCUCCUUUCUUUAUUAUUAUUACCUUUAUUUUGCUAUGAACUCAGAUUUCAUGGAUAUUUUGAAAACUUUGGUUUAAAGUAUAUUCCUCUACAGAGGGUUUAAUAUUUGCUUCAUCCAGGAGCCUGACACCAUUUUAAACUAAAUUUUUGGCUUAGCCUUUUUCAGAAUGUUCUGAAAGUGCAACUUAUGUUGCAAAUCCAUAUGUGGACUUAUUUGUGGUUAUGAAAGGUUUUGUUUCCCCUCUUCCCGUUGUCAAGGUCAGGAAAGGCAAUUUUCUUUUAGUUUCCCUCUGCACAUGUGUUUUUUUCUAGUUCACUGUUUCUCUGAUAAUAUAAUUCUUUAGGAUCCAAGAUUUAUGCAGAGAUCUCCUAUUAGACUCUCCACCUUAAGUAGGCUAUGAGUUUUGUCUUCUGUCUCCCUUUUCCUAUGCAAUAGUCAAAAUGGAAGCUCAAAGUGACCAGAAUUCAUCAGAAGCUCUCCAGAAUGAAAGCUGACCUCAUUGCUCUAUAGAUCCCCAC